rnacentral:rRNA from 1 species
CGACUCUGGGAUAAGCCCGGGAAACUGGGUCUAAUACCGGAUAUUACCUCUUGCCGCAUGGCAGGUGGUGGAAAGAUUUAUCGGUGGGGGAUGGACUCGCGGCCUAUCAGCUUGUUGGUGAGGUAAUGGCUCACCAAGGCGACGACGGGUAGCCGGCCUGAGAGGGUGACCGGCCACACUGGGACUGAGACACGGCCCAGACUCCUACGGGAGGCAGCAGUGGGGAAUAUUGCACAAUGGGCGAAAGCCUGAUGCAGCGACGCCGCGUGAGGGAUGACGGCCUUCGGGUUGUAAACCUCUUUCAGUAGGGAAGAAGCGAAAGUGACGGUACCUGCAGAAGAAGCGCCGGCUAACUACGUGCCAGCAGCCGCGGUAAUACGUAGGGCGCAAGCGUUAUCCGGAUUUAUUGGGCGUAAAGAGCUCGUAGGCGGUUUGUCGCGUCUGCCGUGAAAGUCCGAGGCUCAACCUCGGAUCUGCGGUGGGUACGGGCAGACUAGAGUGAUGUAGGGGAGACUGGAAUUCCUGGUGUAGCGGUGAAAUGCGCAGAUAUCAGGAGGAACACCGAUGGCGAAGGCAGGUCUCUGGGCAUUUACUGACGCUGAGGAGCGAAAGCAUGGGGAGCGAACAGGAUUAGAUACCCUGGUAGUCCAUGCCGUAAACGUUGGGCACUAGGUGUGGGGGACAUUCCACGUUUUCCGCGCCGUAGCUAACGCAUUAAGUGCCCCGCCUGGGGAGUACGGCCGCAAGGCUAAAACUCAAGGAAUUGACGGGGGCCGCACAAGCGGCGGAGCAUGCGGAUUAAUUCGAUGCAACGCGAAGACCUUACCAAGGCUUGACAUGUGCCAGACCGCUUCAGAGAUGGAGUUUCCCUUCGGGGCUGGUUCACAGGUGGUGCAUGGUUGUCGUCAGCUCGUGUCGUGAGAUGUUGGUUAGUCCGCACGAGCGCAACC